GAUGAACGCUGGCGGCGUGCUUAACACAUGCAAGUCGAACGAAGCACUUUAUUUGAUUUCCUUCGGGACUGAUUAUUUUGUGACUGAGUGGCGGACGGGUGAGUAACGCGUGGGUAACCUGCCUUGUACAGGGGGAUAACAGUUGGAAACGGCUGCUAAUACCGCAUAAGCGCACGGCAUCGCAUGAUGCAGUGUGAAAAACUCCGGUGGUAUAAGAUGGACCCGCGUUGGAUUAGCUAGUUGGUGAGGUAACGGCCCACCAAGGCGACGAUCCAUAGCCGACCUGAGAGGGUGACCGGCCACAUUGGGACUGAGACACGGCCCAAACUCCUACGGGAGGCAGCAGUGGGGAAUAUUGCACAAUGGGCGAAAGCCUGAUGCAGCGACGCCGCGUGAGCGAAGAAGUAUUUCGGUAUGUAAAGCUCUAUCAGCAGGGGAGAUAAUGACGG
rnacentral:rRNA from 1 species